CAACGUUGCCUCACAAGGCUUCUUGCUUUUCCUCAUCUGGCCCGGACUCAGCACCCACCUGAGUUCAAUAGCAGACACCAAACCAACAAGACGUGCAGCACUGAAAGAAUACAGAGAGAGAGAUAUAUAAAGAGGCCGUAGUGAGAGCAGUGUGGUGGGUGCUCGACGUGACUGCGUGGUGACUAAAUAAUGAAUGUGGCGUAUCGGGUUUCACGUGGAGCCAGGGCCAUGGCCCAUGGCUGGAGAGGAGGAGGGGGGCAGGAAAGACAGAACAGGGAAGGAAAGGGAGAGAAGGAGGAAUUAGAUGAAUCAUAUGGCCGCAGAGGAGAGCGAAAGGAUGCAAAACAACCAAAGUGAUGCUGCCGACGGGUGCAGCGUUCCGGUGGUUCCAGUAGGACUGUGACCUCUGACCUCCACCCAAAACUCUGCCAUCAAGUGCAAUGCCAACUCUCGCUUGGAUCAUCUCGGGCACCAACACUGGCUGACAAACACAAACUACGUGAAAAAAAGAAGAAAAGAAACACAAGACAACUAUGAAAAAAAAAACUUCAUCACAAGAUACAGAACAAUAAAACAACAAUACAAAAAGAAUCAAACGAGUAAUGGAUGCACCUACUUAUUCCUUGAACCAAAAAUUUAAACAUAAAAAUAUCUAUGGCAACUUUCAUUCCCUUUUAUAUGUUUCCAUUUUGGUACCUUUUUGUCCCUUUUCCAGCAGAUUUUUUCUGUGGCUUAGACAUGGAACUGUUCAUUGACAAACAGAAAUGGCGGACUCAGUAUGGACAAUCAACAAAAUUUCUGUGUUUGGUGUUAAUGUUGUUCACGUGUGGAAAGAUACAGUACUUGUGUAGAGAAUGUAAAUUUUACGGCUAUAUUUUAAAAUUAGUGGCUAAUGGCAAGCACUAUUGUAAUUUAGGACCAUUGUUCUUACUUAUAAACUGUAUUUUAUGAUUGUUUCUUUUUUUUAGUUUGAUUUAAAUUUAGAGUUUUAAAAACUGAUCAGUGUUUGUCUUUCAAGGGAGAGUAAAUAUUCCAAAAUCUACAAAUCCAGUUUUCUGAAUGAACAAAUAUGCAUCAUAAAAAACCCCUACUCUGACGACGACUUAAUUGGAAGAUAAAAUUGUCAUUGUUUCUGUAGGGUUGUUACUACUGGAAGCUCCAAACUUUAAAUAUUUCAGUUUGUUUUAUUGUACUGACAGCCUUUUGUUAUAUCAUGUCAGAUUACAUCAUAUCAUGUCGCGUAAUAUCACGUCGAAUCACGUUCCACGUGAUGUUACGUUUUAUUACGGCUCGUCACAUUAUUGUUCUCAGUGUACAGGUCUGAAUUUUUACGGAGCCCUCCACAGCACUUGCUCGGCUCUAUCAAACGCACUGAAAAAGAUUUAAAUUUUUUUGUUUUUGUUUUGUUUUCAUGACAUUGCCGGUAGCUACAUCUUUUAAAAAAAGCAGCAAUGUUUGUAUUGGAUUAGAACUAUGGGCUGGUUUUGUGAAUAAAAACAAAUGCAUGUAUUUGUGUCGAAAAUUUACAGCUCUGACGUCUGUCUAUUUGCAUGUUUUUUAAGAAACAGCAACAAACGUACAAAAAAAUUAUAACAAUAUGGAAAUGUUCGCAGAAUCCUCUAGAUUGUUCCCUUUUCCAUUCAAACAGUAAAAUAAAAAGCAAUGGGACAAAAUAUGUCAUUUUGAGAUGCGAUAAAG
ensembl:lncRNA